CCUGCAUGGAGCUGUUUUUCUUCAUUGUGUAGAGAAUCCUUCCAGCCGAAGAAUAGUAGUAAUGUGAACAGGCUCUACAAGCAGGACAUGUCUCCGGGCAGCAGGAGGAAAUGAGGCGCAGGCCACCUCUCCGCCAGAAAUCAUGGCUUACAAAGGACCACUAGGGGUACCCAUAACAUCCAGAACAUAGUCCAAGAAGUUAGGACGAGACUACCACUCCAAUGUGCUCACUCCUGUCCUGUUUAUCAGAUGCCCUAAGAGACCAAGCAUUGCACACCAGACUCAUGGAGGAAGUUAGUGCAUGGAAGAAGACCAGGAGUAAGGACAAGAACAGAAAAAAUAUUUUUUUUUACUGAAAGGGUUAAUGGGGUAAUCAGGGGCCUUGGGGUGUUUAUAUUUAAAUUAACUUUCCAUUAAACCAUGUGAG